UACGUAGGGUGCAGGCGUUAAUCGGAAUUACUGGGCGUAAAGCGUGCGCAGGCGGUUUCUUAAGUCAGAUGUGAAAGCCCCGGGCUUAACCUGGGAACUGCGUUUGAAACUGGGAGACUUGAGUGUGGCAGAGGGGGGUGGAAUUCCACGUGUAGCAGUGAAAUGCGUAGAUAUGUGGAGGAACACCGAUGGCGAAGGCAGCCCCCUGGGUUAACACUGACGCUCAUGCACGAAAGCGUGGGGAGCAAGCAGG
rnacentral:rRNA from 1 species